GCGUUGUUCUGCUUCAUUGGGCGUAAAGGGUGCGUAGGUGGCGCUGUAAGUCAGGUGUGAAAUUUCGGAGCUUAACUCCGAAACUGCAUUUGAUACUGCGGUGCUUGAGGACUGGAGAGGAGAUUGGAAUUCACGGUGUAGCAGUGAAAUGCGUAGAUAUCGUGAGGAAGACCAGUGGCGAAGGCGGAUCUCUGGACAGUUCCUGACACUGAGGCACGAAGGCCAG
rnacentral:rRNA from 1 species